GAUGAACGCUGGCGGCGUGCCUAAUACAUGCAAGUCAAGCGAACAGAUGAGAAGCUUGCUUCUCUGAUGUUAGCGGCGGACGGGUGAGUAACACGUGGGUAACCUACCUAUAAGACUGGGAUAACUCCGGGAAACAGGGCAUAAUACCGGAUAAUAUUUUGAAACGCAUGGCUCAAUAGUGAAAGACGGUUUCGGCUGUCAGUUAUCGAUGGACACGCGCCAGAUUAGCUAGUUGGUAAGGUAACAGCUUACCAAGGCGACGAUACGUAGCCGACCUGGAAGGGUGAUCGGCCACACUGGAACUGAGACACGGUCCAGACUCCUACGGGAGGCAGCAGUAGGGAAUCUUCCGCAAUGGGCGAAAGCCUGACGGAGCAACGCCGCGUGAGUGAUGAAGGUCUUCGGAUCGUAAAACUCUGUUGUUAGGGAAGAACAAAUUUGUUAGUAACUGAACAAAUCUUGACGGUACCUAACCAGAAAGCCACGGCUAACUACGUGCCAGCAGCCGCGGUAA
rnacentral:rRNA from 1 species